rnacentral:rRNA from 1 species
UACGUAGGGCGCAAGCGUUGUCCGGAAUUAUUGGGCGUAAAGAGCUCGUAGGCGGUUUGUCGCGUCUGCUGUGAAAACCUAAGGCUCAACCUUGGGCUUGCAGUGGGUACGGGCAGACUAGAGUGCGGUAGGGGUGACUGGAAUUCCUGGUGUAGCGGUGAAAUGCGCAGAUAUCAGGAGGAACACCGGUGGCGAAGGCGGGUCUCUGGGCCGAUACUGACGCUGGAGGUGACGAAAGCGUGGGGAGCAAACAGG